UACGUAGGGGGCAAGCGUUGUCCGGAUUUAUUGGGCGUAAAGAGCGUGUAGGCGGCUAGGUAGGUCUGCUGUGAAAACUCGAGGCUUAACCUCGAGCUGUCGGCGGAAACCAUCUGGCUAGAGUCCGGAAGAGGAGAAUGGAAUUCCUGGUGUAGCGGUGAAAUGCGCAGAUAUCAGGAAGAACACCAAUGGCGAAGGCAGCUCUCUGGGACGGUACUGACGCUGAGACGCGAAAGCGUGGGGAGCGAACAGG
rnacentral:rRNA from 1 species